UACCAGCACCCCGAGUGGUCGGGACGUUUAUUGGGCCUAAAGCAUCCGUAGCCGGUUCUACAAGUCUUCCGUUAAAUCCAGCUGCUUAACAGAUGGGCUGCGGAAGAUACUAUAGAGCUAGGAGGCGGGAGAGGCAAGCGGUACCCGAUGGGUAGGGGUAAAAUCCGUUGAUCCAUUGAAGACCACCAGUGGCGAAGGCGGCUUGCCAGAACGCGCUCGACGGUGAGGGAUGAAAGCUGGGGGAGCAAACCGG
rnacentral:rRNA from 1 species